CUUGAUCGAGCCGAGCCACAGCGGCUCACCCGCGGGCCGCUCCUGCCCAUAGGUGGACAGCAGCGCCUGCGCCUC
rnacentral:antisense_RNA from 1 species